CAGGGGGUAGUCUAAUUUAGGAUCUCAGCUUUGGGAGCUGGGGGCGGGAGUUGAAAUCUCUUCCCUCUGA
rnacentral:tRNA from 1 species